rnacentral:rRNA from 1 species
CAGUCGCCGCGGGAAUACGUAGGGUGCGAGCGUUGUCCGGAAUUACUGGGCGUAAAGAGCUCGUAGGUGGUUUGUCGCGUUGUCCGUGAAAUUCCCUGGCUUAACUGGGGGCGUGCGGGCGAUACGGGCAGGCUGGAGUACUGCAGGGGAGACUGGAAUUCCUGGUGUAGCGGUGGAAUGCGCAGAUAUCAGGAGGAACACCGGUGGCGAAGGCGGGUCUCUGGGCAGUAACUGACGCUGAGGAGCGAAAGCGUGGGGAGCGAACAGGAUUAGAUACCCCUGUAGUCCCUGUCUCUUAUAC